rnacentral:rRNA from 1 species
AUCGUGCAACGGAGAGACGCUCUGGUUGCAACCAUACUUAGGUCCGCUCCCCUCAAUAUCCAAUUUAGGAGAACACUAGCCGGAGCGCGUUGGGAAGCCUGGCUCCAUCUGGUGAGAAGACUGAUGGAUGUGCAGCUUGCUCAACGGCCGGAUUCGUUGAGCUGGAAAUUAACCAGGAAUGGAGAGUUCACGGUUAAAUCAAUGUACUUAGAUGUCAUAAAUUCUAGCUCUAUUCCCUAUUCCAAACAUGUUUGGAAUGUCAAAGUCCCUCUGAGGGUUAAAGUGUUUAUGUGGUUUGUACAUAAACAAGUCAUUUUAACCAAGGAC